rnacentral:misc_RNA from 1 species
ACCUACUGUUUAAUUUUGAGGGUUCGUUUUUACGAAUACUCAAAAUUAGCACUUUAAGCAACGGAAUAAACUGAACGCAUGUGAAGUUUGUUUGUUGGCGCUGUGCGUUAGCACUUUAAGCAACGGGAUUUAUCCGUUGGCGACGUGCUUUAGCACUUUGAAAACUUCAUAUAUAUUUAGUGAUAUGACAUCUAAUUUGUAAUAUAUAAAGCUGAUGACUUUUUAAAAUUAUCGAAGUUGAUAGCUUCUAAUCUAUCAAACCUUUUUAACUGGUCAA